rnacentral:lncRNA from 1 species
UUAUUAUUUAAAGAUAAUCCUAAUUUAUUAUAAAUAAGGUAAUUCUAACCCAUUAUAAAGGAAGUAGAGUUUAGGUUUUACUGUUUAAUAAAUUUUUUAGAGGUGGUUGAGUGUAGUGAAAGUCAAGUUCGGCACUUUAGAGGAGGAAGUCGAGAGUAGGUGAAGUGGAGUUCUAACGUAACUUGAGUUACAUUAUAUUUUUCACUUACAUCAAAACAAAUAACGGAAAUGAUGGAACUUGAGUUCCAUCACUCUAUUUACAUCAAAACAAA